rnacentral:rRNA from 1 species
AGAGUUUGAUCCUGGCUCAGGACGAACGCUGGCGGCGUGCCUAAUACAUGCAAGUAGAACGCUGACUACUUUAGCUUGCUAGAGUAGAAGGAGUUGCGAACGGGUGAGUAACGCGUAGGUAACCUGCCUACUAGCGGGGGAUAACUAUUGGAAACGAUAGCUAAUACCGCAUAACAGUGUUUAACACAUGUUAGAUGCUUGAAAGAUGCAAAUGCAUCACUAGUAGAUGGACCUGCGUUGUAUUAGCUAGUUGGUGGGGUAACGGCCUACCAAGGCGACGAUACAUAGCCGACCUGAGAGGGUGAUCGGCCACACUGAGACUGAGACACGGCCCAGACUCCUACGGGAGGCAGCAGUAGGGAAUCUUCGGCAAUGGGGGCAACCCUGACCGAGCAACGCCGCGUGAGUGAAGAAGGUUUUCGGAUCGUAAAGCUCUGUUGUAAGAGAAGAACGUGUGUGAGAGUGGAAAGUUCACACAGUGACGGUAACUUACCAGAAAGGGACGGCUAACUACGUGCCAGCAGCCGCGGUAAUACGUAGGUCCCGAGCGUUGUCCGGAUUUAUUGGGCGUAAAGCGAGCGCAGGCGGUUUAAUAAGUCUGAAGUUAAAGGCAGUGGCUUAACCAUUGUUCGCUUUGGAAACUGUUAAACUUGGGUGCAGAAGGGGAGAGUGGAAUUCCAUGUGUAGCGGUGAAAUGCGUAGAUAUAUGGAGGAACACCGGUGGCGAAAGCGGCUCUCUGGUCUGUAACUGACGCUGAGGCUCGAAAGCGUGGGGAGCAAACAGGAUUAGAUACCCUGGUAGUCCACGCCGUAAACGAUGAGUGCUAGGUGUUAGGCCCUUUCCGGGGCUUAGUGCCGCAGCUAACGCAUUAAGCACUCCGCCUGGGGAGUACGACCGCAAGGUUGAAACUCAAAGGAAUUGACGGGGGCCCGCACAAGCGGUGGAGCAUGUGGUUUAAUUCGAAGCAACGCGAAGAACCUUACCAGGUCUUGACAUCCGAUGCAUAGUGCAGAGAUGCAUGAAGUCCUUCGGGACAUCGAGACAGGUGGUGCAUGGUUGUCGUCAGCUCGUGUCGUGAGAUGUUGGGUUAAGUCCCGCAACGAGCGCAACCCUUAUUGCCAGUUACUACGCAAGAGGACUCUGGCGAGACUGCCGUUGACAAAACGGAGGAAGGUGGGGAUGACGUCAAAUCAUCAUGCCCUUUAUGACCUGGGCUACACACGUACUACAAUGGCGUUUAACAAAGAGAAGCAAGACCGCGAGGUGGAGCAAAACUCAAAAACAACGUCUCAGUUCAGAUUGCAGGCUGCAACUCGCCUGCAUGAAGUCGGAAUUGCUAGUAAUCGCGGAUCAGCAUGCCGCGGUGAAUACGUUCCCGGGCCUUGCACUCACCGCCCGUCA